rnacentral:RNase_P_RNA from 1 species
GGAGUUAGCUAGGCAAUCGCUGCUGUGCAAGCAGGAGAGGAAAGUCCGGGCUCCUCGGGGCAAGGUGCCAGGUAAUUCCUGGGGGGCGCGAGCCUACGGAAAGUGCAGCAGAGAGUAGACCGCCGGCCUAGCCGGUAAGGGUGAAAGGGUGUGGUAAGAGCGCACCGCGUUCGUGGUAACACGUAACGGCAAGGCAAACCCCACCUGGAGCAAGACCAAAUAGGAAUCCGCAAUGCGUGCCUCGCGCUGGAUUCGGGUAGGUCGCUUGAAAACUGCGGUGACGCAGUUUCUAGAUGAAUGAUUGUCUAAGACAGAACCCGGCUUAUCGGCUAACUCCCCCU